AACAUUGAGCCUUGAUGUGUAGGAUAGGUGGGAGGCUUUGAAGUGUGGACGCCAGUCUGCAUGGAGCCGACCUUGAAAUACCACCCUUUAAUGUUUGAUGUUCUAACGUUGACCCGUGAUCCGGGUUGCGGACAGUGUCUGGUGGGUAGUUUGACUGGGGCGGUCUCCUCCUAAAGAGUAACGGAGGAGCACGAAGGUUGGCUAAUCCUGGUCGGACAUCAGGAGGUUA
rnacentral:rRNA from 1 species